CACCAAUCUUUCCUCCUGAAAGCUUUGGGACUCCUCAUUUCAGUGGGAAGUACUGCAAGUGUUGUUUUUCUGUCUCAGUCCACCAGGUUACCUAGUGUAGGAUUUUCAGGUGCAGUCCUGAAUCUGGCAUGAUUUGUGCUUUGGAAUACCCAUGCUGGGUGGCAGCUGGGGAAUUGUGGAACUGAGCAUGGGAAAGGUUCAGAACUCCAGGAACCACAGAGAUAAUUGAUGUGUGUGACCUGCAGCCUGAAGUGCCUCUUUGUCAGGCACCUCUGCGCAGUGCAGUUACUGAAGGUAGGAGGAUCCAUCAGGAUUAUUCCUGGGAGGUGAAGCACAGCUCAGUUCCAGGGCAAGGAUUGCUGCAGUUGUGGCUCCAGGUGCUGUUCUGCUGUGUUCCAGACAGCUCUCCAGAGGCGUGGGCUCUGCACAGGUUGAAGAAUUCCCUCAGAAAACUCCUUCCCACUGCCUGGAAUCAGCUUCUAAGUGAGCAGCUGGAUUUUAGUAUGAAGUUACCAAUGGUAAAUACUAAGGGACUGUAUUUGCAAGUACAUUUUUCUCUUGACUAACAAACAGCUGAGCUAUGUUAUGUUGGACAUGAGGUUUUUCAGAAACCAUGUUUGGGAGGGAAGGUUUCUGGUCUGUGUGGGAUGGCUGCUAUGUGAAUUGAAGCAUUUUGUGUGCCUUGAUUUAAAUGUGCUUUUAAACACAAUAUUUUCUCCUGCCUAGUGAGACAUUGAUGUUCUUUCCUUAGUCAUGUAAAUCUGUGGAAGAUGCCAAUAGUCUAAAUGGGAAGAUUUCAAAUUCCUAAUUAAUGCAGGGCAUAGUUUAGCACAGGCACCUGGUCUGUAGGAUCUGAAAGCAAAAUGUGUAUUUUGUGAUUAACCAUCUUAUAAAUCAUCUUCAGUGUUUAAAUCAUGGCACUUUUGGAAAGCUCUCUUCCCCUUUUAAGCAUUCUCUCCUGUUUUAACAGCAGCAGCAACAACAAUAAAAAAAAAGAAAGGUAAAAAAAUCCCAACAGUAUCCCAAGCAAUUUAUACUGUUCAUUUCUGAAACCUCAUUUCUGGUUUUCUGGACUUGCAAACCUGUCAAGGAUUUCCCAAGUAGAAUCUUUCUGUCCCAGCUCCCAGUCUAGAAGGUCUGCCCAUCUCAUGUUGCCAUUUGUAUAACAUGAGUCACAAUGAGCAACUUUUUGUGUUCUCUGAUAUCAAAGCUGCUAAACUGUUUUCAUCAACACCUUGUUCCAUAGAAGAUGAAAGCUGUUGAAUAGGUUACUGUGUUUCCUACCUGAAACUACAUUUAGCAAGUCAAAUGUAUGCCAAAAUGACCACUGUUGUUUUCCUAGUACUUGUUUUAAGAAUUAGUAGAAGAUUAGGAAUCCUUCACCACUUAACAAGAUUGUUUAGAUUAUAUCAAAGCCAUACAAAUCAAAAUAAGAAAUUAAAAAGUGAUCUUGGCCUAAAAGGGAUGAUAGAGGAGUGGACAAUACAGGGUGAGGGACUUUGGCCAUUGUGUUCUGGAUGCUCCCUCGUCCUCUCCCAGUUCAUCUGGCUCUGCUCAUCAGGGGUUGCCUUGGUCUUGGGGGAGUUUUCUCUGCUGGGGCGAUGGCAGAGGGGACCGGUAGGACCAGCAGGAGGGCAGUGCUGGGACCUCCUCCUGGAUGGAACCCUGCCCAAAUGUUCAUCUAUCACUCAGGGCUCAAUUACCUUGAGCAUCUGCCCUUUUCAGCAGUGGGUACUGAGAGAAUGAGGAACAAUUCCUGAUAUGCAAUUAAAACUAAAUUUAUUAUUGA